rnacentral:tRNA from 1 species
GCUCCUGUGGUGCAAUUGGUAGACACGGCAAACUUAAAAUUUGUUUUUUUAUGUGGGUUCGAGUCCCACCGGGAGCA